rnacentral:lncRNA from 1 species
UGAUCAAAUACGUUAGAUAAUUCAUUUGAAAAUAUGUAAAUUAAAAUCACCAAUUGUUGCAUAUUACAAAAUACUGUGUAUCCAUGAUUAUAAUUAAAGAACAAAAUUCAUUAUGUUGGAUAUUAUACAAAUAAUUCCUUAUAACAUUGACUGAUCUCAUUAAUAAAGCAGAAAAAUACAUAUUCCAUGUAUUUCAUAGACAUUUCUGGACAUAUGAUUAAAUUAUCACCAGUGGCAGAUAAGUGUCAGGAUCCCGCAACGUAUGUCGGUCGAAACGUCAAUAUGGCACCAGGAGAAGUUUUACGUGUUUCUCCAACACGUGAAAUGUCGCCGUCAGGAAAUGACGGAAAACUUAUUAUAUUGUUUGAAAUAUUAACUUCGGAAUGUGGCACGUAAGUACCGCAGGGAUCCAGAAUAGGAGAAUUGAUUCGGAAACACACAGUAACUAAUAUAUAUUUAUUUAAAAUAAA